rnacentral:rRNA from 1 species
GUGGAUUAGAUACCCUGGUAGUCCACGCCGUAAACGGUGGGUACUAGGUGUGGGUUUCCUUCCUUGGGAUCCGUGCCGUAGCUAACGCAUUAAGUACCCCGCCUGGGGAGUACGGCCGCAAGGCUAAAACUCAAAGAAAUUGACGGGGGCCCGCACAAGCGGCGGAGCAUGUGGAUUAAUUCGAUGCAACGCGAAGAACCUUACCUGGGUUUGACAUGCACAGGACGCUGGUAGAGAUAUCAGUUCCCUUGUGGCCUGUGUGCAGGUGGUGCACGGUUGUCGACAACU